rnacentral:rRNA from 1 species
UACGUAGGGUGCGAGCGUUAAUCGGAAUUACUGGGCGUAAAGCGUGCGCAGGCGGUUUUACAAGCCAGCUGUGAAAUCCCCGGGCUUAACCUGGGAACUGCCUUUGGGACUGUAAGGCUAGAGUGUGUCAGAGGGAGGUGGAAUUCCACGUGUAGCAGUGAAAUGCGUAGAGAUGUGGAGGAACAUCAGUGGCGAAGGCGGCUUCCUGGCUUAAAACUGACACUGUGGCGCGAAAGCGUGGGUAGCAAACAGG